rnacentral:lncRNA from 1 species
GCUCUCGGCCGUCGCUGCCCAACGAGCUUCGAUAAACUGCUCUUUUACUGACACUCUGCAGGGCCCAUCCGAAAGAGAAAAUGGGGGGAGAACCCAGGACUCUGGCGUUCUGUUCUCCUAAUAAACUGAGGUUACGAUUGCAAGGUGUACGUAUGUGGGCGGUUGGACCAAUGCUGCCAUCUCGUGGCUGAAACCCCCAACACACCGCUACCUUCCUUAAGACCGCGCUGUGGUUUGAGGUGGUUUUAGGCGCGGGCCGCAGACGGGUGAAGCAAAGGAAGAUUUAAUUUGUCAGCCCAGUUAGACCUCCCCAGAUUCCCUGGUUUACUGAAUGGGGCAGGACUUAUGAAAACUAUAGAGAUGUGCAAAAGAACAACCAUCCUUCUCUCUGCUACUAUGAAUUUUGACUUUUUAAGAUUCUACAUGUAAAUGAUAUAAUGACAGCACCCCUGGACAUAGAGAAGUUCUCAGGCCAGGGGUGGAAUCUCUAGCCGCCGGCCUGCACCACAACCACAGCAACUCCAGAUCCAAGCCACAUCUGCGACCUACACCACAGCUCACAGCAACACCAGGUCCUUAACCCACUGAGUGAGGCCAGGGAUCAUACCUGAAUCCCCAUGGAUAUUAGUCGGGUUUGUUACUGCUGAGACAUGAUGGAACGCCCACCAUUUCUUUUUUUAAGUUAAAGUUUUGAUUUUAUGUUUAUCUUUUAUUAUAAAAACUCAUUAUAGAGUUUUAUUUUUUUCCACUAUAGCUGGUUUACAGUGUUCUGUCAAUUUUCUCCUGCAUAGCAAGGUGACCCAGUCACACAUACAUGUAUACAUUCUUUUUUCUUACAUUACCAUGCUCCAUUACAAGUGACCAGACACAGUUCCCAGUGCUAUACAGCGGGAUCCCAUUGCUUAUCCAUUCCAAAGGCAGUAGUUUGCAUCUAUUAAACCCAAAUUCCCAGUCCAUCCCACUCCCUCCCCCUCCCUCUUGGCAACCAGAAGUUUGUUCUUCUUGUCCAUGGUUUUCUUUUCUGUGGAAAGAUUCAUUUGUGCCAUAUAUUAGAUUCCAGAUAUAAGUGAUAUCAUAUGGUAUUUGUCUUUCUUUUUCUGACUUACUUCACUCAGUAUGAGUCUCUAGUUCCAUCCAUGUUGCUGCAAAUAGCAUUAUUUUUUUCUUUUUUUUUAAUGUCUGAAUAGUACUCCAUUGUGUAUAUAUACCACAUCUUCUUAAUCCAAUCCUCUGUCAAUGGACAUUUAGGUUGUUUCCAUGCCUUGGCUAUUGUGAAUAGUGCUGCAAUGAACAUGUGGGUGCAAGUGUCUUUUUCAAGGGAAGUUUUGUCCGAGUAUAUGUCCAAGAGUGGGGUUGCUGAGUCAUAUGAUAGUUCUAUGUAUAGUUUUCUAAGGUACCUCCAUACUGUUCUCCAUAGUGGCUGUACCAGCUUACAUUCCCAUCGACAGUGCAGGAAGGUUCCCUUUUCUCCACACCCUCUCCAGCAUUUGUUAUCUGUGGCCCUUCUGACUGGUGUGAGUGACUUUAUGUUUAAAAGUUAACACAUCUUGAGUUUUCUGAGCCAACAAGCAUGUUCUCUAACACCAUAUUCUACAAGUGGAUAUUGAAAUAAAUUUUAGCUAAAAUAUAUCAACAGAAGAAUUCCUACUAUUCCUUAAAAUACAUUUUUGGUUUUUAACAUUCAGUUAAUUUAAAUUCUUCUAGUACUUACAUUGAAUUAUGGUGGUUUUUUCCCCCCUUUUCCCUAGCAGUUACUGAAAUAUACUUGACAUAUAAUAUUGUACUACUUUUAGUUGUACACAUAGCGAUUUCAUAUUUGUAUACAUAGCCAAAUUAUUACCAUAAUAAAUUUAGUUAACACUCAUACCCUCACAUAGUUAAUAAUUCUUUUUCUUGUGAUAAUAACUUUUAAGAUCUACUCUCCUAGCUAAUUACAAAUAUACAACAUUGUUAACCAUACUCACCAUGCUAUACAUUACAUCCCUAGAAUUUAUCUUAUGACUGGAAGUUUGUACCUUUUGCUUACCUUCACCCAUUUUGCCUCUCACCCCCAAACCCCACCUCUGGCAACUACCAAUACGUAUCUAUGAGUUUGGGUUUUCAUUUUUGUUUUUUUUGUUUUUUGUCUUUUUAGGGCCGAAUCUGUGGCACAUGCAGCUUCCCAGGCUAUGAGUUGAGUUGAAGCUGUAGCUGCCAGCCGAGCAGUGUCUGCCAUCUAUACCACAGCUUACUGAGCCACAAUGGGAACUCCAAGUUUGGGGUUUUGUUUUUUUUAAGAUUCCAUGUAUAGAUGAGAUCAUACAGGGUUUGUCUUUCUCUUUCUGACUUAUUUCACAUAAUGCCUUCAGGGUCCAUCUGUCAUUGCAAAUGGCAGGAUUUCUUUUAUUUAGAAAUAAUUUUAUUGAAAUAUAGUUGUUUCACAACAUUGUUCCUUCAUUUUUAUGGCUGAAUUUCCUCUGAUAUAUAUUGAUAUACUGAUGUCAUGUUUUCUUUAUCCGUUCAUCCAUCAAUGGACAUUUGGGUUGAUUCCAUAUGUUGGCUGUUGUAAAUCAUCCUGCAAUGAACAUGAAGGUGCAGAUAGGUAUCUUUUUGAGAUAGUGGUUUUUCUUUCUUUUGAAUAUAUACAUAGAAGUAGGAUUGCCGGAUUAUAUGGCAGUUUUCAAUUUUUUGAUGAACCUCCAUACUGUUCUCCAUAGUGGUUAUGCCAGUUUACAUUCCCACCUACAGUGAACAAGGGUUCCUUUUUCUCCACAUCCCCACCAACUUUUGUUAUUUCUGGGUUUUUUUUUUGAUGAUAGGCAUUGUAAGGUGAUAUCUCAUUGUGUGUGAGUGUGUGUGUGUGUGUGUGUGUGUGUGUGUGUGUGUGUGUGUGUGUGUGUGUUUGGCCAUGCCUAAGGCAUGUGGAGAUUCUCUGGGUCAGGAAUUGAACCCAUGCCAAAGCAGUGACCUGAGCCAUAGCCAUGACAGUGCUCCAUCCUUAACCACCAGGCUACCAGGGAACUCCCCCACCUAUAUUUUUUCUUCUAGGAGUUUUAUGGUGUCUAGUCUUACAUUUAGGUCUUUAAUCCAUUUUGAGUUUAUUUUUAUAUAUGGUGUUAGAGAAUGUUCUAGUUUCAUUCUUGUACAAGUAACUGUCCAGUUUUCCUAGUACCACUUAUUGAAUAGAAUAUAUUUUCUCCAUUGUAUAUUCUUGCCUCCUUUGUCAUGGAUUAAUUAACCAUAAGUGUGUGGAUUUAUUUUGGGGCUUUCUUUUCUUUUCCAUUGAUCUAUGUGUCUGUUGGAAGCACAACUGAUUAUUGUGUAUUGAUUUUGAAUACUCCAAAUUUACUGGAUUUAUUAGUUGUAAGAGUUUGUGCGUGUGUGCGUGUGUGUGUGGAGUCUUUAGAGUUUUCUUCCUGUAGGAUCAUGCCAUCUGCAAACAGUGAGAACUGUCCUUCUUCCUUUUAGAUUUGGAUUUCUUUUUUGUGGGGGCUCUGAUUGCUGUUUACAAUAUUUCUAGUACAAUGUUGAAUAGAAGUGGCAAGAGUGGACAUCCUUGUCUUGUACUGAAUCUUAGGAAAAAAUUAUCAGUUCUUCUGCAUUGAUUAUGAUUUAGCUGUGACUUUUCAUAAAUGGUCUCUGUUAUGUUGAGAAAGUUUCCUUUUGUACCUAUUUUGUUGAGAAUUUAUAUCACAAAUAAAUGUUGAAUGUUGUCAAA